GACGCCGUGGCUUAGGUAGCUAAAGCACCUGCCUUAUAAACAGACAAACCUGGGUUCAACUCCCAGUGGUGCCU
rnacentral:tRNA from 1 species